AAUGAACGUUGGCGGCGUGGAUUAGGCAUGCAAGUCGUACGGUAAGCUUCGGCUUAUAGUGGCGAAAGGGAGAGUAACGCGUGGUUACAUGCCCUCGGGACCGGGAUAGCGGCGGGAAACUGCCGGUAAUACCGGAUAAUAUCUUUGGAUCAAAGGUGUGAUUCCGCCCGAGGAUUGGACCGCGUUCUAUUAGCUUGUUGGCGGGGUAAUGGCCCACCAAGGCGACGAUGGAUACCGGGUGUGAGAGCAUGGCCCGGCUCACUGGGACUGAGACACUGCCCAGACACCUACGGGUGGCUGCAGUCGAGAAUCUUCGGCAAUGGGGGCAACCCUGACCGAGCGACGCCGCGUGCGGGACGAAGGCCUUCGGGUUGUAAACCGCUGUCAGUUGGGAGGUAGUGCCGGGGGGUUCUCCCCUCGGUUUGACCGAUCUUCAGAGGAAGGACGGGCUAAGUUCGUGCCAGCCGCCGCGGUAA
rnacentral:rRNA from 1 species